UGCAAGUCGAACGGAUCAGGGGAGCUUGCUUUUCUGGUUAGUGGCGAACGGGUGAGUAACACGUGAGUAACCUGCCCUUCACUCUGGGAUAACUCCGGGAAACCGGGGCUAAUACUGGAUAUGACCUGCUCGCGCAUGCGAUGUGGGUGGAAAGAUUUAUUGGUGGGGGAUGGACUCGCGGCCUAUCAGCUUGUUGGUGAGGUAAUGGCUUACCAAGGCGACGACGGGUAGCCGGCCUGAGAGGGCGAUCGGCCACACUGGGACUGAGACACGGCCCAGACUCCUACGGGAGGCAGCAGUGGGGAAUAUUGCACAAUGGGCGAAAGCCUGAUGCAGCGACGCCGCGUGAGGGAUGAAGGCCUUCGGGUUGUAAACCUCUUUCAGCAGGGAAGAAGUGGCCGGGUUUUCUCGGUUGUGACGGUACCUGCAGAAGAAGCACCGGCUAACUACGUGCCAGCAGCCGCGGUAAUACGUAGGGUGCGAGCGUUGUCCGGAAUUAUUGGGCGUAAAGAGCUUGUAGGCGGUUUGUCGCGUCUGCUGUGAAAUUUCGGGGCUCAACCCCGAACUUGCAGUGGGUACGGGCAGACUAGAGUGUGGUAGGGGAGACUGGAAUUCCUGGUGUAGCGGUGAAAUGCGCAGAUAUCAGGAGGAACACCGAUGGCGAAGGCAGGUCUCUGGGCCACUACUGACGCUGAGAAGCGAAAGCAUGGGGAGCGAACAGGAUUAGAUACCCUGGUAGU
rnacentral:rRNA from 1 species